AAAUAGGUUCCCCUGUUUACCUGUGGAUCAAUUGUUGAGUAGAGACCACAAGAUAUUGUGUUGACUCAAAAUGGGUCAAAAGUCUACAAAGAUCCAGUAAAAAAAGACAUCGUGCAUUUCAGGGGAGAUGACUGUCAGCUUGAUGAAAAUGCUCACCUCAUAAAUGCCAGCAGAACCCAGAAGUGUCAGUCACAGCAGACCUGGGAUCAAUGAGGAAUGAAAGUGCACAGGGGUCUGAUCUCCUCCAUGUCAACCCUGGAUGCAUCACCUGCCUCGCAGGCACUGAGGUCUGAGCUCCUCUCUGUGGGGGGGAAUCCAAACAGAGAAGGAAGGCCAUGAUUCUUCAUGGUUGUCAAUUCCACCGUGCAGAGUUGGGUGCCAGACUGAUCUCCUGGUCAUGAACAGAUUCUACCAGAAGGAGACCUACCAGAAGGAGUAAGGUACUCCCAGUCAACACCACCUCAUAAAAUUGUCGUCUGCAGUUGUUCGAGAGAUGUCCAGUUAGCAGCCGAACAUGCAGCAUAGAGAAGACCAGCAAGGGGGCCCUCAUCAGCACCAUGCAGACACCCUCUCUGUGAGCGUUUCUAUGAAUGGAACAGUAGCCACAUGUUGGCAAGUAUCCAGCCAGCAACCUUCACCUGUCAGAGGCAACAGCUUUCACAUGGUCAUCAU